rnacentral:rRNA from 1 species
GGCGAACGCUGGCGGCGUGCUUAACACAUGCAAGUCGAACGGAAAGGCCCUGCUUUUGUGGGGUGCUCGAGUGGCGAACGGGUGAGUAACACGUGAGUAACCUGCCCUUGACUUUGGGAUAACUUCAGGAAACUGGGGCUAAUACCGGAUAGGAGCUCCUGCUGCAUGGUGGGGGUUGGAAAGUUUCGGCGGUUGGGGAUGGACUCGCGGCUUAUCAGCUUGUUGGUGGGGUAGUGGCUUACCAAGGCUUUGACGGGUAGCCGGCCUGAGAGGGUGACCGGCCACAUUGGGACUGAGAUACGGCCCAGACUCCUACGGGAGGCAGCAGUGGGGAAUAUUGAACAAUGGGCGGAAGCCUGAUGCAGCAACGCCGCGUGCGGGAUGACGGCCUUCGGGUUGUAAACCGCUUUCGCCUGUGACGAAGCGUGAGUGACGGUAAUGGGUAAAGAAGCACCGGCUAACUACGUG